rnacentral:lncRNA from 1 species
GUCAAGAAGAGAAACGGAGCAACUAGGCCCGGCUUGAGCUCCUGAACUCUCGAAGCCACAGUGACGAACUUCCUCCAAGAAGGCCGCACCUGACAGGGCCGCUCCUCAUGGGCCAACGGCAGCCAUUUUCACGCGGACCUCGCGGGCCGAGUGUCCUCAGCCGCUGUGCAGGUCUCUUCCUUCGUCCCUGUCCUUUAGAAUGCGGAGCUGACAUUUAAUCAGGAUUCAGGGGAAUUAGAGCCCCACACCGCCGAGCUGGACUUGUGGUAGGUGCUCGCCGGGCCAACCCUUUCCUCUUAUUCUUCUGAUGUCGCACAGGCGCGGGCAGGGAGGAGGAAGGGCCCUGGCGGCUGCAGUGGAGACCGGGAUGGAGUCGUGGGUCCUGGUCAUUUCUGUUCCUCCUGAGGACGUGAUUUUACAGAAAACUCCUCCUCGUGACUGAAGGAGAUUUCCACAGCAGGACAUAGACCGGCAGCCUGUGCGUCGGUGCCUGUCAUGGCGUCGCUCUGCACAGGUCCAGGGGAGUCACCGACUGGGGAUGUGAAGUUUCUCUUUCUCCUGUUGAACGCGCACUCCUGGAGACGUCUGUUUUCCAGUCUCACCUGCGGCCAGCGCUCCUUACACAGGACACAGGUGGAGGACAGCGCUCAGGCGCCCCCUGGUGGCUUCUACUGAACAGAUUUCAUGUAAUGAGACGACGAAAGAAAUUCUGAGAAAGGUGCGGGGCUGUGUACAGUAAAUUUCCCUUACACAAAUGUUCGUGU